UCUUGUACAGUUGGAGAAAGUUUCGGUUCGUCUUGUUGGAGCUUGCCUUCGUUUGGGAUCAGCAAGAAUGGAGCUGUUACGUUCAUUUUUGACGGAGAUACGUAUGCGGAUGGAAGGGAAAGCGCCGCCAUUGUUGCGAAACCACAAGUUCUCGAGAGUGAAAGGCCUUCUCGCUUGUGACAUUGUGUUCGUUCCAAUGCAGUUGUAUCCCGACUCCGCCGUACCGCUGAUGCUUACGACGUGGAAUACGCUACAUGCGCUAUGUGCGGUUUGCUGUGUGCGCUGUAGUUAAGUUGUAUGUUGUACAUGUAUGUGUAUGCUUUUCUCAUAUACGCUGUCAUUUUCACGCUAUAACUACCUGGUGGUUUUAGUGUUAGUUCUUCAUUAUUCAUUAUUGUUAGUCGAUCGAAGUCAAUACACUGUUGAGAAUAAAUAGUUGUCCUCUUGCCGUGUGGUCGUUCGUUCCUGACACUUUAGAGAACCAGAGGGUUCACAACAGCCAUAGUCAGUAUGGAAAGCAGCGAGAAGAAUCCUGCGCUAAAUGAUGCUGAUGUACAAAUUGCGCUUGGCUGUUUCGGUCCAUGACCCCACUCUUGUCUCCAAUGCUGUUAUGCUCGAUCUCGUUGAGCUCGGCAAGAAUAGCUGAAAGAGUUCCGAACUGGACAUUUGCUGUAUAUUCUUGUUGCUAUUUGCUGUAUCUCUGCUGAUGUGCGUGCUACGAUUACUCCAGCCAAUACAAUGUCCUGUACAUGUACAUGUUGAGCUUAGUCAGUGCCUUUUCCGUGAUCAUUCUAUUUCUUGACACCAACCACACCAACAGUCCGAAGCUAUCUCAGGACUGUAUUUAUCAAUGUACAUGUAUAGUGUUUACUAACCACUACAUUGUAAACCAUGCUAUUGAGCUAUUUCAUGCGGAGAAUCAAGAUUGUUUUUGGAUCUGGUGUGCGGUUGCUAUGCGUUGCUAAGGAAAGUGGGUUCUCUCAGUUUGACAUAUCUCUCUGAUCUCAAAUGUGUGGGACGUUUGUCGGAAAAUCCGGUGAUAGGCGAUGACUAUUUUGCUUGUAACUUUAGUUUCCUUUGUCCGAUUUAGAAAAACUAAAGACCAAACUCCUCAGGAAGCUCUAACCUAUCCAAAAAGCAAAACAUAAGCCACAGAAAACCGA